CGGUCGGUGAUCAGGCCGAUCGGGCCGCCGAUGGUGGCCGCGGUGACCGACUGCGGGGCGACGGCCGGGUACGGUUCCCGGUCGGCCGC
rnacentral:tRNA from 1 species